rnacentral:rRNA from 3 species
UGGGGAAUAUUGCGCAAUGGGCGAAAGCCUGACGCAGCAACGCCGCGUGAGGGAUGACGGCCUUCGGGUUGUAAACCUCUUUCAGCAGGGACGAAGCGAAAGUGACUGUACCUGCAGAAGAAGCGCCGGCUAACUACGUGCCAGCAGCCGCGGUAAUACGUAGGGCGCAAGCGUUGUCCGGAUUUAUUGGGCGUAAAGAGUUCGUAGGCGGUCUGUCGCGUCGGAAGUGAAAACCCGGAGCUCAACUCCGGGCCUGCUUUCGAUACGGGCAGACUUGAGUGUUGCAGGGGAGACUGGAAUUCCUGGUGUAGCGGUGGAAUGCGCAGAUAUCAGGAGGAACACCGGUGGCGAAGGCGGGUCUCUGGGCAACAACUGACGCUGAGGAACGAAAGCGUGGGGAGCGAACAGG